rnacentral:lncRNA from 1 species
ACUGAAGAGGAUCUUUGAACAUCUUUCCCAGGAAGGGCAUGAGAUGGGUGUGGCUACAUAAUGAAACAUUAUUUGUCUGAAAACAUCUUUCUCAUCCACACUCAUGGCUUUGCAUAUGACAAUUUCUCCCACCGUUGACUUUUGGCCUUGUAGUUGAUGAGACACCUGAAGCUAGACUGACUCCAGCUGUCUCUUAUUUCAUAGACACCAUGUCAGCUUGAGUCUUGAAGACACCAUUUAGAGAUGAUCCAACCUCUUUGCUUCUCAGGACUAUGGACAGACACUCAUUGGGAUUCCUCAGGAACAUUCUUCUCAUAUAAUACAUCUGUUCAUGUGGCAAUUUCUUUCAUCAUCAUCUGUAUUGAGAAAGAUCUACUUUGUCCAGUGCCAUGUGAAGUUAAGGAGGGCUCCAUGCAAGACUUUAUUCAAUAUUGGGCCAGGCAUCCAUACCAUGCAAGGAAUGACAGCAGACUGGGUUCUGCACUCAUUGUUCCUGGUGUCCUUUCUUGAGGUGUUGAUAGGACACAGAUGGUCCAGCCACACCCCAUACUUUGGCCUUCUGAGGUGAGCUAGGAAAGGACAUCUGCGUGAACGUUCCUGCCACCUAGGCAGGCUAUCAGCCCUGAAGAUGAGUCUCAGCCUCCAGAGCUUCCUAGGCUUGGCAUGUUGAUCUGCUCCUGGAGUUUGUCAAGGAAAAGCAACACACACUAUGUUUGUGGACCAGUCAGUGCCUUUCCUCUGAAUUCAAGCCAUUCAAACAAAUCAACUCAGGAAAAUAUACAGUGACUCCUGGUUCAAGUUUCCCCAAGAAUACCAGAGUUCCUAUAGGAUAUGACCACAUGAAAUGGAACCUGACAGCAGAAAAACCGUUGAUGUCCUCUGUCCAGGUUCAGAGGGAGCACAGAGUUCACAUCCCCACCUUCAACACCGAUGGAAGGCAUUGUGAGUGCCCAUGGCCCCAGGAGGAAGCCAGAAAGUUCACUGAGAAUUGGAUGGGGACAGUGACCUGAGACUCUGGAUGGUGCUUCUUCCAGGUCUCUCAACAGCCAGGAAUGCAGUGUCAGGAAUGGGUCAGAAUGGAGUCCUCGGCACCAGCCCAGGCUGAGGUGGGGAAGGCCUGGUGAGGUCUUGGGAGGUUGGCCAGGACUGAUGGCUUUCAGUUCAGUAGAGGGAGGAGGCCCAACAACCGUCCCAAUCCAAACCAAACUUUCCAGCUUGGCCUAACGCAGGAGACAGGAGACAUUACCCACACCAUGUCUGUGCAAAGGAAACCCACUCCAAGAUGGCUCCGCCAAAGUCUACCAAGUCUCCUCGGAGUGGAUAGUGAGCUGGCCUCUAAAAACCUUAGUUUUUUUAAAAAAAUGUUCAUUCCCUUUAUCUUCUUGAGAAUUCACAAAGGACAAAUAUACCCUGUGACAAGUCUCCCUCUCACCCUAUCCCUAGCUAGCCAGGCCCCCUCCCUGGGGACAGUGACAUAAGGGGCCUCGUGCACAUGACUUCCUGGCACUCCCUUCCUUGUAAGAAGGGUCCUCUGAUGAGUGAAGGGUACCUCUUUGGUCUCCUCUGGCUCACAUACAGGCAUGUAGAAAAUUCCAGUCUCUUUCAGUGUCUUUAUUCCUUGGGAAGCCCCAGGACACUGUUCCACGUGGCAUGGAGAAAGAGAGCAUAAAACUGCACAUCUCCAGCAUCUGGCAGAUGGCACACAUGCAAUGUUUUCUUCCACCAAACAUCAAAUGAGCUCCUUUUCUGUGCAAACUUGCUAGAUGCUGCAGAAGAGGAAGCCAUGAACGAGCAAGUCAUGCUCUCCUUUCGCAGGAUGUUAGACCUGGGUGAGGUUGGGACCCACCCUCUAGUUGAUGGGGAGACAAGCAAGAGAAAACAAAGGAGUGAAGAGGAGGAGGCAGCAAGACUACAGGCAAAACCUUGAGAACUGAUGCAACAGGGGCCGGGAAAGGAGAGAGGGAGCUUGUUCCCUAUGGAUUGGAGCCACUCUACAGCCCUACCAUUUCAUCUUCACAGCUACUUAAAUGUGGCAUUUCCUUCUCCACACCUGGCUGAGGUGGGGCCAAGGGAAGAGGAUUCUAGAACAAGAUUUAAUGGGCCCUGUCUUGGAUCAUGGUCAGUUGAGGAUGGCCCUGGAAUCUUCUCAGCCAGACUGUGUAUCCCUUGAGGUCAGGUGUGGACAGAACAAGUGGCUGCAUGUUUCAUUCAUCAUUACCAGACAAACAAGUAUUAUUUUCCCAUUUCUGAGACAAGGAAACAGAAUCAGAGAGGUUAAGUAACUUGCUCAAGGUUGCUCUGCAGGCUAGAGUCAGAGCUAGCUGGAUCAGGAACCCAGGGCUGUCUGGUUAUUCCAGCUCAGAUCUCUUUUCCCCCCUCUAGGCCUUGUUCACCUUGAUGCUCCUUGAUAUCCUUUUUGAUGACUGAUUUGAUUUUUGUGUAAAUUAGGGGUUUUCCAUGUUCCCAACUUUUAACUUCAAAACCUAAGCCCAAUUUCACAGCCUUUCCACAUGUUGGGAUAGCAAGUUGUGACUGUGCCCCCCUCUGCAUGUUUCUUAAUCACUGUGCUUCAAAUGUGCUCAGAAAAACAAAGGUAUCUUUCACGUUACUUCCUGGUAAAACAACUCUGCAUCUGGUGUUGCUAAAUUCUAGAGCAAUUUGUCCCAGUUGUUAUAAGACUGAUUUCAUUCUCAUUUUAAAAUUUGAGUUUUUAUAGGCAUACACACUAACCUGACGACUUUGUACAUCUCAUUAAUAUGUUCAAACUCAAUUUGUGAUGAAUAUAGAUCAUGGUUCUUGUACUUAUGUGCAGAAGAGAGCACAUAUGUGUCCAUUUACUAAGUUAUUAAACAUGCCACACAUGCUAGCAUCAGGCGAUAACUCUCACUAUUAAUGUUUCCAUUUCCAAAACAGAUACAUAGAAUAAGGCCCACAUUCCCUUCUGGUCAAGUGGGUUGUAGAGACCUGGGCCAUUCCACUGUACGGCCUUGGUGUGUUAUUAUAGCCUCAAAAUUCUCAUAUUUCUAUAUGUGUAAGCUCUGUCAUGGUUUGGAUAUUUGUAAUGAUAGGAGCCUGAAUAGGAAAAAUCUUCUAGGAAAUAUUUCUAGAAAGAUCUAGGACCACUAUGGGAAACUGAGACCCACACCCCGCCCCGUAUCAGUACACCUUGGCAACUAUCUAUCGUGGUUCUGAUGUCUUCUAAUCCCUGCAUAUGCCUUCACUUGCCUCCGUAGCACUCAAUGAAAUGUUCCAGAAUCUUCUAUAUGAGAAUACACCACUCACUUAAGCACACCCCACCAAAGGAAAAUGCUAACAAUAGUGUAGCCAGCUUCCAAGACAAACUAAAAUCUACUCACAGCCUCACCCAUACUUAUCAGUGUCAAAGCAAUGAUGCAUCUAAUGAUGAUAAACAUAUGCUUGAGGAAGAACAGAUCUUUAGAGCAAGGAGGGAUGAUGAAAAUGAGGUAGAGAAGGCAUUUCUUAAGGCUGUGACUAGAAUCUAGGUCUCUGAGCUGCUCGCCAGGACCAACUAAUGGGUACACGGCUCAAGUUCAAAUUCGAUUUUUCCUCCUUCUCUAAAUGUAUUAGUUUCCUAUUACUGCUGAAACAAACUACUACAAGUUUUGAGACUUAAAACCACACAAAUGUAUCAUCUUACAGUUCUGGAGGUCAGAAGUGUGAAAUGAGUCUCAAAGGGGGCAAGAAGCAAGGUGGCAUCACUAUCACAAUUUCUAGAGACAGUAGGGAAGAAUGUGCUUCUCGACCUUUCUUUCAGCCUGAAUUCUUAAACUUCUUCCCUCUUCACAGCUCCUGUUCUGAUUUUUACCCUCUUGCCUUCCUCUUGAUGAGGGUCUGUGUGAUUAUAAUGUGCUGACCCAUCCAGGGUAAUCUCAUUUCCAAAGUUACAUCUACAAAGUCCCUUCUGAUGUGUAAGGUAAAAUAGUCACAAUUCCAGGGGAUCAGGGGGUGGACAUCUCUGGGGGACAAUUAGGACAAGCCUACCCCACUACACACAAGCCUCUCUAUUGCCCACAAAAAACAUUCUCCAGUUUGAUGGCGCUCCUGAAAUGCAAAGCUGGGUAGAGAAGUAGGAAGAGGAAAGUUAACACUUUUUGUUUGAAUGGGCAUAAUCCACAGCCCAACAGAAGUCAGAAAUUGAAGCACAUGACUAUGUCCAUUAGUACUACACACAGGUGUGCAAUGACGAAACAGCAAAUGACAGAUUUGGCCUCAAAAUAAAGUAACUUGUAAGAUACAAACCUGAAGAACUUCCAUCAAAAUGGAAAAAGGCAAAAUACCUAAACAAGAAACCACCAAAGACAUCACUGCCAUUUACCUUCAACCCUCAGCCAGGGACUUGGCAUGACAUGUUCCAAGUGGACGGGUAUCAUCCACAUAGGCUCUGCUCAUCUACUCCAAGGCAUUUUGAAACCUUUCAUAGGAUCUCUUAUCAUCUCAGCACUUGGAGUUUUCUUGAUAAAUAUCUUGCUGCAACGAACAUUAUCACAAGUACAUCUUGACACAAAUACACUCCUGCUUAUUUUCUUAGGAUAAAUCCUUAGAAGUGGUACUUCUGGAUCAACGGGCAAACAGGGCUUAUUUUAUAGCCUUAUGAUGAGGAUUACCAACCAGCUCUCAUAAAAGUAGCAACAAUUUACACACCCAACAAGUCUCCAGUUUUAUCUGCUUUGUACACAGACACUUCCCUUAACUUUGUUAAUCUAAUCAAUAAAAAUGGUCUCUCAUUUAUUUGCAUUACUUUGAUGACUAGGGAGGGGAGAUCUUUUCUAUAUUUAUUGGCCAUGAGUAACUACACAUCCUUUUAUGACUUGCCUAUUUAAUUAAUUUAUUCAUUCUCUUACUGGUAUGUUAAAAUUUUGUGAUUGAUUUUUUAAGAGUAAUUUAUGUGUGAAGGAUAUGAAUCCUCUUUAGGAUUCAGAUAUUGACAAAUAUUGCUUAUAGAUUUUCUUUCUAUAGUGUUUUUUGUGUGGCUCAUAAUUUAUCAUCUGUAUGUAUCUAUUUUCCUUUAUGAUUUUUGUCUUCAAUGUUCUGAUUAGUUUUCCUUUAUCUAAUUAUAUAUUAAUUUAUAUC